UUUCUGGAUCAGUGGCGAACGGGUGAGUAACACGUGAGCAAUCUGCCCCUGACUCUGGGAUAACAGUUGGAAACAGCUGCUAAUACUGGAUACGAACUGCGAUCGCAUGGUCGGCAGUUGGAAAGAAUUUCGGUCAGGGAUGAGCUCGCGGCCUAUCAGCUUGUUGGUGAGGUAAUGGCUCACCAAGGCGUCGACGGGUAGCCGGCCUGAGAGGGUGACCGGCCACACUGGGACUGAGACACGGCCCAGACUCCUACGGGAGGCAGCAGUGGGGAAUAUUGCACAAUGGGCGGAAGCCUGAUGCAGCAACGCCGCGUGAGGGAUGACGGCCUUCGGGUUGUAAACCUCUUUUAGCAGGGAAGAAGCGAAAGUGACGGUACCUGCAGAAAAAGCGCCGGCUAACUACGUGCCAGCAGCCGCGGUAAUACGUAGGGCGCAAGCGUUAUCCGGAAUUAUUGGGCGUAAAGAGCUCGUAGGCGGUUUGUCGCGUCUGCUGUGAAAUCCCGAGGCUCAACCUCGGGCCUGCAGUGGGUACGGGCAGACUAGAGUGCGGUAGGGGAGAUUGGAAUUCCUGGUGUAGCGGUGGAAUGCGCAGAUAUCAGGAGGAACACCGAUGGCGAAGGCAGAUCUCUGGGCCGUAACUGACGCUGAGGAGCGAAAGGGUGGGGAGCAAACAGGCUUAGAUACCCUGGUAGUCCACCCCGUAAACGUUGGGAACUAGUUGUGGGGUCCAUUCCACGGAUUCCGUGACGCAGCUAACGCAUUAAGUUCCCCGCCUGGGGAGUACGGCCGCAAGGCUAAAACUCAAAGGAAUUGACGGGGACCCGCACAAGCGGCGGAGCAUGCGGAUUAAUUCGAUGCAACGCGAAGAACCUUACCAAGGCUUGACAUAUUCGAGAACGCCGUAAAAAUACGGAACUCUUUGGACACUCGUUU
rnacentral:rRNA from 1 species